rnacentral:lncRNA from 1 species
AGUAAGAGAAAAGAGCAAAAGAAGAAGAAGUUGUGAUGGCUUCCUCUAUGCUCUCCUCUGCCGCUGUGGUUACCUCCCCAGCUCAAGCCACCAUGGUCGCUCCAUUCACCGGCUUGAAGUCAUCCGCUACUUUCCCCGUCACCCGCAAGGCCAACAACGACAUUACUUCUAUCUCAAGCAACGGCGGAAGAGUUAGCUGCAUGAAGGUAAUGUCCUAUAAAAACUGUAUUUUGUCAUGUGUAAUUAGUGAAAUUGAACAAAACUUAGAAUAAUUGGAAUUGGGAGUUAUAGGUGUGGCCACCAAUUGGAAAGAAGAAGUUUGAGACUCUAUCUUACCUCCCUGACCUUACUGACGUCGAAUUGGCUAAGGAAGUUGACUACCUUCUCCGCAACAAGUGGAUUCCUUGUGUUGAAUUCGAGUUAGAGGUAAUAAACACUGGACCUUUCGUUUGUCUCUAAUCAUUAUAUAUUAUUUUCUUACAUAGCUAAAAACCAAAGUCAAUAAGCUUAUUUUCGUUUGUCUCUAAUCAUUGUUCAUUGAAUGGAUUUCGUAUUCAUUUAUAGCAUGGAUUUGUGUACCGUGAGCAUGGAAACACACCUGGAUACUACGAUGGACGGUACUGGACAAUGUGGAAGCUUCCAUUGUUCGGAUGCACCGACUCCGCUCAAGUGUUGAAGGAAGUGCAAGAGUGCAAGAAGGAGUACCCUAACGCCUUCAUUAGGAUCAUCGGAUUUGACAACAACCGUCAAGUCCAGUGCAUCAGUUUCAUUGCCUACAAGCCCCCAAGCUUCACUGAUUCUUAAUUAAAUCCUUUCUGGAAUAUUCAAUGUUGACUAUCCGGAACAAUUUUGUAUGGUCAAUGUAAAUUUAAGUAACUAUUAUCUAGCCAACUUAAACGUUGAGCAAUUGUUUUGCGAAAAGUGAAAAAGUUGAAGGUUUAUUUUCUAUCAUUUCCUCUAUAAUUAUAUCUAUUCAUAUCAUUUCAUUUUUGAUCUUAUCACUUUGAACUCUUUCAUCUUCGAUUUAGCUCUUUUAAGCAACAUUUUAUUUCCUUUACAUUUCCCUCCUAAUUUUUGCUUUUGAUUCUCUAGACUAACCUAUAAUAGAAGAGAGACCUUUUUAGAUACCUUUUUGGAAAAACUUUGCACAUGAAAUCAUAACAAAGAUGCCUCAAUAAAUCAAAUCUCGAAAGGGCCAGUACCUUGUGACUUAGAUGGAUGGGCUAGGACGAUCUCGCUUUCGAAAAAAAGAUUUAUUUGAUUUUGCUGUGGGUGGAGCAAUGUUGACUACCUCCGCACUAUUUUCUUGAACGGUUUUGGCUAUUUUGUACCUUGUACGCGCUUCUGCUCACGGGAAAUUUGUGAGCUUUAAGUUGGUAUUGUGGAUCCAUGACCAUAGCUUCUUCCUGUGGCCUUAGGGAGAGUUCUUGCCUCGGUUCCACACCGUCCAUUGAAGUGUGCUAUGAAAAUUCCCCACAAUCUGUCAUGUCUUCCAUGCUUAAGUUGACAUGGUGGAAAUCAUCUUGAGGUGCCACAUUUUAAGUGGGCCGUACGUGCAAUGGUGUGGUGCUCCGAAAGGAACGGUAGCAUGGGUUCCUAUAGCAUUGGAUCGUUUUCUAAACAAUAUGCAUUAUGUGUUUAUAAAUUUUAGUAAUUGUACAUACAUGUCCCAGUUUAAAAACAGAUUAACAUACAUUAUAAUUUUAAGGGCUGCCUAUAGCGUUACACCUAUACUAUAGCGUUUCAACUCCUAUCCACCUGUACUUUCGACCUCUGCCCAAUUCACCUUAUACUUGUUUUAAACUUCCUAAUUCCACCUAAACUAUUAAAUUCUCCAUAAUUAACCAAAAUCAAGAACUCUCUAUAAUUGCGAUUAAAAAUCGUUCAAAUCGCGUUUACUGUAGGCCAACCCGAGUCAGAUCCGACCAGCUUCGAAGACUUCUUUCACCAUAAGGGUUUGACUCGUGUUCAUUUGUUUUGUCGGGUCAACCUCGGAUUAAUAUAAACACAUAUUUUUUUACUGCAAUUUGAACUAUUUUUAAUCGUAAUUAUAGAGAGUUGGGCAGAUGUCGAAAGUACAUGUGGAUAGGAGUUGAAACGAUAUAUAUAGUAUAGUUGUAACGCUAUAGGCAGCCCUAAUUUUAAUAAGAAUGAUAUAAACUCAACUAAACUUCCUCUUCUUAGUUUGAAACUUUGCAUGACCAUUAACUCUCUUAUACUGCAUAAGACAUAAUUAGUGACAUAUUUUUUUCUUUCUAUUAUCAAUAUUUUCGUUAGCAUGUACUCGUUGUAAGAUGAAUAGAGAAAUAAUUGAAUUAUGAAAUAACGAAAUCAAUGUAUAUAUAUAUAAAACAAAAACAAUUUUACGCUGAACAAUUUUUUUUUAAAAAAAGGCAAAAAAAUUGCUUGUUUCAUAUUAUAGGAUGUUUUGGACCUUUUUUUUUGUUUCACAAUAUAUAAUGCUUUGAAGAAAAAAUACAAGUUUCUAUGUAAAACAUUAAAUUUAAUAGAUUAUUGACUAUUUACAUUAUGCAGUAAAUUAUAUCACUGAUUAAAUUAUUUUUAAUAGAUAUUAAUUUUUGUUUUAAUGUUAAAAACUCAAGAUUAGUUAAUUUCUUAAACUUUGUGCUUUCAUCUUUUUUUUUAUCUUUUUUUUUUGUCAUCCGAAAUUAAUUAUACCUCAAAAGAGAGAGUAUUAUUUGAAACAAAGAGAGUAUUAUUUAGCAGAUAAAUGACUUUUAUCUGAUUUAAUUAUAAUUUUAAAAUGUGCGGGAUGAAUUAAAAGAUCAUUUAUCAUUUUUCACGUUUUGUUUUUUUCCAGUUAGGUUUUUGUGAAUGGUUUUUACUCAGCGUAAUCAUGUUUUAAGAACAAGAACGUGAGAAAGUUAACAAAAUACCGUUGCAAGACUUUAUUUUUGUUUUACACAAAAUGUAGUUUUAUAUUUUCAAAGUAGUUUUUUUUAAUAGAAUUUACUUAUAUUCUUUUUAGUUAAGAUAAUCAAAUGGGAAAAUAAAAAUAUUAAUGUGUUAAUACAAGAUAAUAGAAAUUUAAUCAUUUUAAUAUAUAUGUAAAAAGUAUUCAACCGAUAUUUACAAUUAGACAGAACUAAGAAGUAUUAAAUUUCUCACCUCACCUCCCAAAAGAAAGGAGCCAAAAGCAACCGAUCAAGUGGAGACCAGUACUAGCCAUACACAUUCACUCGUUCCCUUACAAGAGAAAGAUAAGAUUAUGGAGUUUUCUGCCACUUGGUCUUAUCCUAGUGGUCCGAAUUGAUAAGGGUUUCAACACCUUUCCUUAAUCCUGUGGCAAUUAACGACGUUAUCAUGAAUUAUGGCCACUUUGAUCAUUAGGGCUUUUUGCCUUGCAGUUCUCACUAUAUAAAGAUGACCAAAUCAAUCGACAAACAAGUAAAAGAAACAACAAGAAGUAGUGAUGGCUUCAUCUAUGCUCUCCUCUGCCGCUAUGGUUACCUCCCCAGCUCAAGCCACCAUGGUCGCUCCAUUCACCGGCUUGAAGUCAUCCGCUGCUUUCCCGGUCACCCGCAAGGCCAACAACGACAUUACUUCUAUCUCAAGCAACGGCGGAAGAGUUAGCUGCAUGAAGGUAAUGUCCUAUAAAAACUGUAUUUUGUCAUGUGUAAUUAGUGAAAUUGAACAAAACUUAGAAUAAUUGGAAUUGGGAGUUAUAGGUGUGGCCACCAAUUGGAAAGAAGAAGUUUGAGACUCUAUCUUACCUCCCUGACCUUACUGACGUCGAAUUGGCUAAGGAAGUUGACUACCUUCUCCGCAACAAGUGGAUUCCUUGUGUUGAAUUCGAGUUAGAGGUACUAAACACCGAACUUUUCCUUUGUCUCUAAUCAUCCUUUAUUAUUUCUGUUCAUUGGUAGAAACAUAAGUCAAUAACCGGAUUUUAAAACCCGAAAUAGACUAUAACCGUGUGACUCCUCGACUAUCAAUGGUAUUGAAUGGUUUUGUCAUCUGUUUAUAGCACGGAUUUGUGUACCGUGAGCACGGAAACACUCCCGGAUACUACGAUGGACGGUACUGGACAAUGUGGAAGCUUCCAUUGUUCGGAUGCACCGAUUCUGCUCAAGUGUUGAAGGAAGUGCAAGAAUGCAAGAAGGAGUACCCUAAUGCCUUCAUUAGGAUCAUCGGAUUCGACAACAACCGUCAAGUCCAAUGCAUCAGUUUCAUUGCCUACAAGCCCCCAAGCUUCACCGAUGCUUAAUUCCCUUUCUGGAAUGUUCAACGUUGACUAGUAUUUCGGAAUCCAAUUCUAUGUGGUCAAUGCAAAUUUAAGAAAUUAAUUAGCCGACUUAAAAGUUGAGGAAUUAUUGUGUGAAAGUGAAAAAUUUGAAGGUUUUUUCUAUCAAUUUCCUUAUAAUUAUAUUUACUCAUUUGAUUUCAUUUUUUUUCUUCUAGCUCUUUGAGCUCUAUUUUUCGUUUAGCUCCUUUUGACAACAUUCCGGUUCAUUUAAAUUCUCCUCAUUAUUCUUGCUUUUGAGAAAUUGGCUACAUUGUUUCGAGAAAUUUUGCACAUGAAAGCAUAACAAAGAUGCCUCAAUUUAUCAAACCUCGAUGAUUUAGAACAAAAGAUUAUUUAAGGGGGUGUAACCUUUUAAGAUGAAAUAGCCAUUGGAGAUAGCAAAAGGUAGUAAAAGACGUAUACACUAUAAACAAAAUCCAAAUGUAUGCUUUUAAAAUUAUAAACAUGUAUUCCAAACGCCUAAGUGGAAUAUUCAGUUUAAUUCAAGUCCAAGAAAUGGCAUUAUAUAAAGCAAGGAUCGACAAAGACUGAAAUUUGUCUAGCAUGAAGUUACUAAAUUUUGGAAAUUGUGUUCACGUUAAAAGCUGAAACUUAACAGUUAUUUAUAAGGAAAAGCAGUUAAUGUUCCCAAAAAGUUCUAAAUGAAACUAGAAACCAAAUGAUAAAGAAAACGUAGCAUCUACAUGUUUGGUUUUAGUUUUUUUUUUUUUGACAAAAAUAUUCAAAUGUUUUUAGAUUCUUCUAUGCAAACGAUAUAUAGAAAAUAUAUACAUGAUUCAAAUAUAAUACAAAUAAAAAUAAUUAUUGAAAUUACCGAACAUUUUUUUGCAUCUCCCUGAUUUACUUCCCACAUUUUCGUUUCAAAUAAAAUUCAAGAAAAAGAAAGACGACGAAAAAAAAUGACUUAAAAAGACAAGGGACAGAAGCUGGUAACUUAGAUGGAUGGGUUAGGACUAUCUCACUUUCGAAAAAUGUUUAUUUGGUUGAGGUGCGGAGUGGAGUGGAGCUUGUGAUUCUUUGCCCUAUAUGAGAGUUUUUUCGUGACCAAUUAUGGUGAUUGUGUACUUUGUAUACAUGUUUCUUCUCAUAUGGUUGAAAUGGGGGCAUUUGUGAGCUUUAAGGUGGCAGUCUUGAUCCACGACCAUAGCUUUACAUGACUUUAAGGUGAGUUCUUGCCUUGGUUCUACACCGUUGAUUGAAAUGAAUUAUGAAAAUUCCUCAUGAUCCGCCAUUUUUACAUGCUAAGUUUUUUUUUUUUGAAAAAUGCAUGCUUAAGUUGAAACGGUGGUUAUCAACUUGAGGUGCCAUAUUUGUGAUUAAGUGGGCCGUAAGUGCAACGGCGUGGUACUCAAAGAGGAACGGUGGGGUGGGUUUCACAUCGUGAUUGUGAUGUGAGUAUGUAUGUGACCAGAGUCCAGGGCCGGCUCAAAAUUAUUCGAGACCUUGUGCUGAUGUAUAAAAAUUGGUUUUUAAAUAAUAUAGUGAAAAUUUUGGACCCUCAAUCUUAGAGGAAAUUGAAAUUUUUUUUUGAGGACCCUGUGCUUUUGCUCCUCUAGCACACCCUUAGAGCUGGCACUGCCAGAGUCACAAGAUAAUCGUGAGCUGGUCUUACUUGUUGAUCGAGAGGCAGCAUUAACUCAUAUAGAAGAAACCAUGGACCUCCGACCUUGGGAGGUUUUCUUGGAAAUUCUUCCAUGAUGGAAGCUUACCGCAUGAGCAUGAUACAGGUAGAUGCAUGAUGGUUUCGGUUGUUUGCUCGAUCGCUUUCUACCACAAACAUAUCUUGCAUCUAAUUGUUGUUGCCUUGUUGGUUCUCAAAUAUUUACUCUCGAAACAGUAAGAUGUUGUUAGCCAUACGUAAAUCAGAAAUAAAAGUAUAGUUGGCUAAAACUGCAGUGAGUAUAGAAUUAACCGAUAUCAAUUUAUUCAAAUUUCCGUCUCUCUUUUCUUUUGUUGGCUAAUAUAUUAUCAUUUGAAGAUAAUAUAUAGUUUUUCCAAGAAAAGAAUAUUGACAAUUUUUUUGUGGUAAGUGAUUUUAAGAAUGACUCCAGAAUCGACAGGUUACCCAGACAAUAUUUAUCAUGGAUAAACCUAUCGAAAAAUCUUAAAAAUCAGUAUUAAUAAAACGGAAGUAGUAAUGAACUUCUAAGCUAUGCAUUACAAUACAUUUAUCUCAAUGUCGAAUUUAAAUAAUUUUCUUAGAACUCCUUUUUUAAUGCGACCUUAUUCACCAAAUCAAGUGAAGCCAAAUUAAAUCAUGCAUGGUAAAUAAAAUAUCCAAAAGCAUUAAAUUUAAGGUAAUGCGUCUGAUUUCUUUCCUCCCAAACGAAAGGAGCCAAAAGCAACCGAUCAAGUGGAAACCAAUAACCACACAUUCACUUCGUUUCCCCCACAAGAGAAGAUAAGAUAAUGGAGUUUUCUGCCACGUGGCAUUAUCCUAGUGGUCCGUACCGAUAAGGGUGUCAACACCUUUCCUUAAUCCUGUGGCAGUAAACGACGUUAUCAUGAAUUAUGGACCCUUUGAUCAUGAGGGGCUUUUUUCCUGUUGCGGUUCUCACUAUAUAAAGAUGACAAAACCAGUAGACAAACAAGUAAGUAAGAGAAAAGAGCAAAAGAAGAAGAGAAACAACAAGAAGUAGUAAUGGCUUCCUCUAUGCUCUCCUCGGCCGCUGUGGUUACCUCCCCGGCUCAAGCCACCAUGGUCGCUCCAUUCUCCGGCUUGAAGUCAUCCGCUGCUUUCCCGGUCACCCGCAAGGCCAACAACGACAUUACUUCCAUCGCAAGCAACGGGGGAAGAGUUAGCUGCAUGAAGGUAAAGUAAAGUCAUUAAUGAAAGAUGUCUUUUGUCAUGGCAAUUAGUGUAAUUGAACAAAACAUAGAAUAAUUGGAAUUGGAUUCGGGAAUUAUAGGUAUGGCCACCAAUCGGAAAGAAGAAGUUUGAGACUUUAUCUUACCUCCCUGACCUUACUGACGUCGAAUUGGCUAAGGAAGUUGACUACCUUCUCCGCAACAAGUGGAUUCCUUGUGUUGAAUUCGAGUUAGAGGUAAUAAACACUGAACCUUUCCUUUGUCUCUAAUCAUUAUAUAUUAUUUUCUUACAUAGCUAAAAACCAAAGUCAAUAAGCUUAUUUUCUACACCAAAGUUGAGGCUAUCAUUGUCCAUCGAAUGGUUUUCUUAUGUGUUUAUAGCAC